rnacentral:rRNA from 1 species
GGACCCGCACAAGCAGUGGAGCAUGUGGUUUAAUUCGACGCAACGCGAAGAACCUUACCAGCGUUUGACAUGGGAAGUACCGGUUACAGAAUGGUAACCUCAGUUCGGCUGGCUUCCGCACAGGUGCUGCAUGGCUGUCGUCAGCUCGUGUCGUGAGAUGUUGGUUAAGUCCCGCAACGAGCGCAACCCUUAUCGUUAGUUACUAACAGUUCGGCUGAGGACUCUAGCGAAACUGCCGGUGAUAAGCCGGAGGAAGGUGGGGAUGACGUCAAGUCCUCAUGGCCCUUACACGGCUGGGCUACACACGUGCUACAAUGGUAACUACAAUGUGAUGCCAUCUGGUGACAGAGAG